rnacentral:lncRNA from 1 species
UGGGGAGCCCCUGGCCCUUCCUCAAGGGCUAACCCGAGCCUUCUGCAGGACUGGACCUCGCCUCCCUGGCCCCCGGGGCCUAUCAGAGCGAGGGCCCGGAUGCGCCCAGUGACGUCACACCAGUCACUCCCCCCCACCCCCACAAUUCAGCCGUGGGACACGCAACUGUCCCCGACCGGGCGAAGAGCGCGUCGGCCCGGACCGCGUCUGCGCACGCGCACAGUCCGCUAAAGAGGCCGCUCUAGGCCCGCAGUCCGCCUCGUUGGCCUGGGCACGCGCGCGCACGCGCGCCGCCCGCCCGGCACGCCCGAGCGGGAGGGCUGUUCCCCGUGUAUCCCCACGUUCUUCUCACACAUCUCCGCGCAAACACGGCGCGGGCCGCGCUCCUGCGAGCGGGAAGCGGGGUCGCUCUUCCCCGGAAGGCUAACCGGCCCUCCCUCGGCGCUCACGGCCUCCGUCUGCUCGCGGCCCACGAUCCCCCGGCAUGGGGGCGUGUUUCCGGUGGCGAGGCUCGGAGCCCUCCGCCUUUCCUGCACCGGAAUGGCUCAGGCAACGCUUCUUCCUCCGCAGGCUAUUAGUUCUUCCCGUCGCCUCGUCCUAAGAGUACUGCAUUAAAAAAUAAAUAAAUAAAAUCCGGUUUGUUAUGCAAGCAGCAUCCCAACAGUACACAAUUAUAUCAAAAAUAGCUAAGCGAUUAAAAAAAAAAAGUCUGGCGUGGUUGAGGCAGGAGGAUUGCAGUGAAUUCUAAAUCCAGCCUGGGCUACGUAGUGAGACUGUUGUCUCAAAAACCACGGAGGGAAGGGAGGCGGAACAAUGGAGCGGAGUAGUCCGUACAUUUGGGAGGCUGAGGUAGGAUCAGGUUUAGCCUGGGCUACCUAGGGUGGACCUGUUCACUUGGGUGGGGCAACAAACUGAACCCAUGAGAAAAAGCAUUGCCACACUGCUAUCUAUGUAAAUGCAGACUUUUCGGAUAUACACAAAGAGGCAUUUGGUGCAUGUUUCUCCAGUUUCAGUGGUGUGACUCCCUGGGUAACAGUCUGAAGAACUUGCCAGUGGCAGCACUUCACCUGGGAAGCAGCACUCAGGAGGCAGGUGGAUCUCUGUGAGUUCGAGGCCAGCCUGGUCUAUAUAAUGAGUUCCAGGACAGCCAGAGCUCCACGGUGGAACCCAAGAGUUAGGAUAUCUGCAGCCUAGGAUGCCUAACAGCACCAAUCUGAGAAUGAAGAACAUCCCUACUGAUAGCAAGGUUCCCCCACCUAACUGAAUAUAACAAAGACUUUAUCUUCUAUGAACUUGGAUACAAACCUUGCUGGAGCCUUAGGCAGGGCCAGGACUGGGAAGAGCAAAGUAAAGCACUCAUUUGGCUACAAUUUUAAGGGACCAAGAAAUAUUUUAGCAAUCAAAAUUGAUUCUAUGUUAACAUUUUUUGAAACAUGGUCUCACUAUGUAGUCCUGGAACUUGCCAUGUAAACCAGGCUGGCCACAGACUCACAGAGACCUGUCUGGCUCUGCCUCCUAAGUGCUGGGAUUAAGGGCAUGCACCAUUAUGCCUAACAUAGUGUCGUACUUUUAAAACUAAAUUAGUAAGCUGUGGUGUAUUGUAGGAGAAUACACUAGCCAGUUUACCCAAACCCUAGUCACCC